rnacentral:lncRNA from 1 species
UUGUAAAGAGUGUUGAGAUUGUCUUGAAUGCUGUAAGGUUGGGUUGAUUGCUUCAAAUGCCUUAUGUGAGAAGCUGUCUUGAUGAGCUUCCUAGGAAAAAGAAUGGACUCAGAUCCAUCCUAGGAAGAAAUGAUGUUGAAGGUUUUAUGAAGAUAGAGGCAAAAGACUUGAGUGUGGAGAUAAGACUACACCACAUAACCUCUAGGA